AGCCCUGUAACUCAGUUGGGAGAGUGCCUCUCUUACAAAGAGGAAGUCGCGGGUACCCUUCGGGAACGCUUGCGCGAACAAUUCCUGCUGGGGCUA
rnacentral:tRNA from 1 species